UCCGUAUUGAUUACUUUCUUCUCUUCCU
rnacentral:sRNA from 1 species